rnacentral:misc_RNA from 1 species
AGAUGAAGAACGUAGCGAAAUGCGAUAAGUAGUGUGAAUUGCAGAAUUCAGUGAAUCAUCGAAUCUUUGAACGCACAUUGCGGCCAUAGGUAUUCCUUUGGCCAUGCCUGUUCGAGCGUCAUUUACACCCUCAAGCUCAUGCUUGGUGUUGGGCGUCUGUCCGCGCUUUCGGCGCGGACUCGCCCCAAAUCCAUUGGCAGCGGCUCCGCCGGCUUCUCGCGCAGCACUUUGCGAUCUUGAAGGCUUUCGGCGGGCUCGCGUCCAUCAAGUAACCCCCAAUUUUGACCUCGAAUCAGGUAGGGAUACCCGCUGAACUUAAGCAUAUCAAUAAGCGGAGGA